UUCCCGGUGGUCUAGUGGUUAAGACUCCGUGCUCCCAGUGCAGGGGCUUGGGUUCCAAUCCCUGGUCGGGAAA
rnacentral:tRNA from 1 species